rnacentral:rRNA from 1 species
CUCGUAGUUGAACCUUGGGUCUGGCUGGCCGGUCCGCCUCACCGCGAGUACUGGUCCGGCUGGACCUUUCCUUCUGGGGAACCUCAUGGCCUUCACUGGCUGUGGGGGGAACCAGGACUUUUACUGUGAAAAAAUUAGAGUGUUCAAAGCAGGCCUUUGCUCGAAUACAUUAGCAUGGAAUAAUAGAAUAGGACGUGUGGUUCUAUUUUGUUGGUUUCUAGGACCGCCGUAAUGAUUAAUAGGGAUAGUCGGGGGCGUCAGUAUUCAGCUGUCAGAGGUGAAAUUCUUGGAUUUGCUGAAGACUAACUACUGCGAAAGCAUUCGCCAAGGAUGUUUUCAUUAAUCAGGGAACGAAAGUUAGGGGAUCGAAGACGAUCAGAUACCGUCGUAGUCUUAACCAUAAACUAUGCCGACUAGGAAUCGGACGGGAUUCUAUAAUGACCCGUUCGGCACCUUACGAGAAAUCAAAGUUUUUGGGUUCUGGGGGGAGUAUGGUCGCAAGGCUGAAACUUAAAGAAAUUGACGGAAGAGCACCACAAGGCGUGGAGCCUGCGGCUUAAUUUGACUCAACACGGGGAAACUCACCAGGUCCAGACAAAAUAAGGAUUGACAGAUUGAGAG